rnacentral:tRNA from 1 species
CGCGAGGUGCGAUGGCGCCAGCGGAAUCAUAAUCCGCGUGUCGGGGGUUCGAGUCCCUCCUCCGCUACCA